AGCUUUAUGAUAAUUAUAUAAAGUAAUUCCUGCUCAGUGUACAUAAACAGCCGCAGAAUUUUAUACUGUGCUAAGGUAGCAUAAUCACUUGUCUUUUAAUUAAAGAAUAGAAUGAACGGAAAAACGAAUUUUAGUCUGUUUUAUUUAUUUCUAAUAAAAUUACCAAAAAGUAAAAACACUUUUUUCAAAAAAAAAGACGAUAAGACCCUAAAGAACUUUUAACUAUAGUUAAGCUGGGGCGGCUUUUUAAAAAAAUCUUAAUUUAAAUUAAUUUUACCUUACUAAAUUUUCAAUGUUACCUUAGGGAUAACAGCAUAAUUUAAUUUUAUAGCUCUUAUUCAAAAUUAAGAUUAUGACCUCGAUGUUGAAUUAAAAAUCUGCUAAACGAAAAAAAUUAGCAAGAAAGUCUGUUCGACUUUUAAAUAUUUACA
rnacentral:rRNA from 1 species